rnacentral:rRNA from 1 species
GUACACUCCUGCGGGAGGCAGCAGUGGGGAAUUUUGGACAAUGGGCGAAAGCCUGAUCCAGCAAUGCCGCGUGAGUGAAGAAGGCCUUCGGGUUGUAAAGCUCUUUUGUCAGGGAAGAAACGGUGAGAGCUAAUAUCUUUUGCUAAUGACGGUACCUGAAGAAUAAGCACCGGCUAACUACGUGCCAGCAGCCGCGGUAAUACGUAGGGUGCAAGCGUUAAUCGGAAUUACUGGGCGUAAAGCGUGCGCAGGCGGUUUUGUAAGUCUGAUGUGAAAUCCCCGGGCUCAACCUGGGAAUUGCAUUGGAGACUGCAAGGCUAGAAUCUGGCAGAGGGGGGUAGAAUUCCACGUGUAGCAGUGAAAUGCGUAGAUAUGUGGAGGAACACCGAUGGCGAAGGCAGCCCCCUGGGUCAAGAUUGACGCUCAUGCACGAAAGCGUGGGGAGCAAACAGGAUUAGAUACCCGUGUAGUCCCAUG